rnacentral:rRNA from 1 species
UACAGAGGUCUCAAGCGUUGUUCGGAUUCAUUGGGCGUAAAGGGCGCGUAGGCGGCUCGCCAGGUCGGGGGUGAAAUCCCGCAGCUCAACUGCGGAAGUGCCUUCGAUACCGGCGGGCUCGAGGAAGGUAGGGGUGCGCGGAACUUCUGGUGGAGCGGUGAAAUGACGUAGAUAUCGAGAGGAACACCUGCGGCGAAGGCGGGUUGCUGGGCUGACACUGACGCUGAUGCGCGAAGCCAGGGGAGCGAACGGG